UACGUAGGGGGCAAGCGUUGUCCGGAUUUAUUGGGCGUAAAGAGCGUGUAGGCGGUCUGGUAGGUCCGUUGUGAAAACUCGAGGCUCGACCUCGAGACGCCGAUGGAAACCAUCAGACUAGAGUCCGGAAGAGGAGAGUGGAAUUCCUGGUGUAGCGGUGAAAUGCGCAGAUAUCAGGAAGAACACCCGUGGCUAAGGCGGCUCUCUAGUACGGUACUGACGCUGAGACGCGAAAGCGUGGGGAGCGAACAGG
rnacentral:rRNA from 1 species